UACGAAGGGGCUAGCGUUGUUCGGAAUUACUGGGCGUAAAGCGCGUGUAGGCGGGUCCUUAAGUCAGGGGUGAAAUGCCGAGGCUCAACCUCGGAACUGCCUUUGAUACUGGGGAUCUUGAGUCCGGGAGAGGUGAGUGGAACUGCGAGUGUAGAGGUGAAAUUCGUAGAUAUUCGCAAGAACACCAGUGGCGAAGGCGGACUCACUGGCCCGGAACUGACGCUGACGACGCGAAAGCGUGG
rnacentral:rRNA from 1 species